rnacentral:lncRNA from 1 species
UAGGUGGGAUCAUCUUGAUAAUUGAGAGGAAGCCCAACCCAUGUGACCAGUUCUAUUUCUUAGCCAGGGAGUCCUAAGCAGUAUCCAGAAAAAAAUGGUUGGCUGAAAGCAAGCAGAGAAGGAUGUGUUGUCUUUCGUUGCUCUUGACUUCAGAUUGUGAGGGAUAUAAGAAGACGCCUUACCAAUGUGAUCUUUGGAAGGAAAUCGAUGCUGUAUUAGAUUUCAAUACACUGACAUUCCUUGACAGAUGCUGUUAAUAGAUUGAAAAGACAAGGUAAGAUUGAGAGAGAGGGAAAAAAGUCUUCUAAUAAAGAGUUUCACUGGAAU